rnacentral:rRNA from 1 species
ACGCACGCUGGCGGCGUGCUUCACACAUGCAAGUCGCACGGAAAGGCCCUGCUUGCAGGGUCCUCGAGUGGCGAACGGGUGAGUAACACGUGGGUGAUCUGCCCUGCACUUCGGGAUAAGCCUGGGAAACUGGGUCUAAUACCGGAUAGGAGCCAUUUUUAGUGUGAUGGUUGGAAAGUUUUUUCGGUGUAGGAUGAGCUCGCGGCCUAUCAGCUUGUUGGUGGGGUAAUGGCCUACCAAGGCGGCGACGGGUAGCCGGCCUGAGAGGGUGGACGGCCACAUUGGGACUGAGAUACGGCCCAGACUCCUACGGGAGGCAGCAGUGGGGAAUAUUGCACAAUGGGCGCAAGCCUGAUGCAGCGACGCCGCGUGGGGGAUGACGGCCUUCGGGUUGGAAACUCCUUUCGCUAGGGACGAAGCUUUUUGUGACGGUACCUAGAUAAGAAGCACCGGCUAACUACGUG